rnacentral:rRNA from 1 species
AGAGCGAACGCUGGCGGCAUGCUUAACACAUGCAAGUCUCACGGGCAGCAAUGUCAGUGGCGGACGGGUGAGUAACGCGUAGGUAUCUAUCCUUGGGUGGGGGACAACAGUGGGAAACUACUGCUAAUACCGCAUGAUAACCGAGGUUCAAAGGCGCCCGGGGCAACUUGGGCAUCGCCUGGGGAGGAGCCUGCGUACGAUUAGCUAGUUGGUGGGGUAAAGGCCUACCAAGGCUACGAUCGUUAGCUGGUCUGAGAGGAUGAUCAGCCACAUUGGGACUGAGACACGGCCCAAACUCCUACGGGAGGCAGCAGUGGGGAAUAUUGGACAAUGGGCGAAAGCCUGAUCCAGCAAUGCCGCGUGUGUGAAGAAGGUCUUCGGAUUGUAAAGCACUUUCGACGGGGACGAUGAUGACGGUACCCGUAGAAGAAGCCCCGGCUAACUUCGUGCCAGCAGCCGC